rnacentral:lncRNA from 8 species
CUAACUGCAUUUACUGUGGAGGCUACUCUGUCAACAAUGCCUGUAUGUUAACCUAAACCAUUUAGUGAAACCACAAGAUAAAUCUAUUAAAACAGUAGUGUUUUAGACUUCUCUAUAGAACUAAUGGGCACUCCUUUUAGUCAAAUGUAUUUGUACGUAUAUUGGGGAAAACUCACCAUUAGCUGAAUCUAAAAUCACAAUCUGAUUAAGUACAUAACUUAUUUCCUGGUGUAAGUUGAUCCAAUUGGAUUGCUUGCAUAUCAUUAAAUGGAGAAUUCGAACAACAAAAAACAUUGUUUAGAAUGUUUUUCUCCACUCACUAAAGGUUUUGUGUGGAUAGAAGGUGUUUGUUUUCAGGGUAUAUUUGUAUGUAAUGAAUUGCUUAUGUUUUUGUGGUGUCUACCUUGUGUGUAUUUAUUUAUCUACAGUAUUUCUGUGUGUGCUGCUGGUAUUGCAAGGCAGUCAGCAGCCUCACAGUGGACUGGAGAGGGGUGGACUACAUGAAGAGUGGGGCUCACUCAGGACUGGCCUGUUCAAGUAGGGAGGCAGGACCGGGACUGAGACCACCUUACACUGCUCAGCCCCCCCCACCCACCCUAACCAUCAUACCCCCCACCAGCACCCCUCCUCCACUCCCGACACACUCACACUCUCCCUUGCCCUGUGCCUGUCUCUCUCCAUUCUACCAAGCAGCCAGCCAGACCUCUCUUCUGCCCUGUCGACAUCCCUCGAGUGUUCCACGCCUUUCUCCCUCAGCCUCCUCAGCCGUGCUCGUCUGCCCUCGCCUCCGCUGACGGUCCAAGUCUAUCUACAACUGCAACAAGUUCCCUGGGACUUUUUCAGAAACUCUUUCCUCAAUACCUUUUUUUCUUUUUGCUACCUCCCUUGAGACGCCAGUGCGGGUUGUGCUGUGUGAUAGGGUCUAGUGUUGCUCUUCGCCUUCGGGGUCUCUGUACGCUGUUGACCAGAGGAGAAGACUACUUGUCACCAUGAUCAAAGUUCAGCUGCUGCUCUUGCUGGGCCUGGUCGGCCCCUUCUGUGCCGUCGCACGCGCAAGCACACUGGUGACACCAUUAGACAGGGUGUCAGAUACCCCUGCUGCCACCGAUACCCUCGAAGAAGGCGCCACCGAUGCGGCUACAACGGAGGCCCCUGCUGUCGCCACCACGGCCCCGGCAUAUCCCAAAGCCACGGCAGCUGCAGAGGCUGAGGAGGAGUUGGUGGUGGAGGAGGAGGGCACUGGCUCUGGACAAGUGGUGGGUAUUGUGAUUGGCGCAUUGGUGGCAGUGAUCAUUGUCAUCGCCGUGGUGAUCGCCUUGGUGAGGAGAAUGGGCAAAUACUCCCCCUGAGGAGAAAGGCUGCCAGACAGGAAGUCCCCAAAAUGUUCUGGCAAUUCUGAACUGCUGAACUACGUAAUUUCCUGUCAUUAAACAAGCAUGCUACCAGCACUAACCUAACCAAGAUCUUGUACUGUUGCCAAAAGGAGGGGGAGGUGUGGGGGGAGAAGAAUGUUUCUCUCCCAACCCCCAGACAGAGCCAUUGAUAUCAAUGGUCCUGCCCAACCACACAACAACCCUCCACACCGAUAACCAAACGGGGGGGGGGGGGGGUGACCCCUCACUGACAUCCACAGUGACCCACAGGAUGUCAGUAAAUUUCAGGAUUUUUCAUGUGUUUGUAAAAAGAAAGGAAGUAAGGGAUUAUUUAACUUGUGGUAGAAAACGCUCUCUUAUGCAGUGGUGUGUACAUUAAUUCCAAUUUGCAUUUGAGUUGAAGACGACCUAAAAACACGACACAAAAGAAACAGAAAAUAAAUAUAAAAAUAAAAAGUUGAAUACAGAAGGGGAAAAAAGGCGGAAGAAAAUGUGGUGAAUUUAAUAGGGUGUAUAUACCAUGCAAAGGGACUACAGUUAUUACUUGAUUAUAUGUUGCAGUUGCUCACUAUAGCAUUCAGUUAAUGGAACAUUGCAAAGCAGCCAAAAACAUCCACAUAGUAUUUUCUCACCUUAACACCUAGCCAAUGAGUCCCUACCUACCAAAAUGUUCAACAACUAUAUGAAGCACUGUAUGCAGAAGUUGUUUCGACAUUGUGCUCAUGUUCUGAGGGUUAGCGAGGGGCUAAUGAAAAGACGCCUCAUUUGCAAGUGUAACGUGACAUUCGCCAGCUUUAACACUGACAUAUAAAAACCUAAUACAGAUCUGUGAAAUUUUGCAGAAGGGUUUGUGCCACUGUCUCUGGUAUUCCCUGGAUAGUUUGGAGAUUUUACUUUUGAAGUGCAUUAAUGUGAAUUAAGUACUUUAACUGUCACCCAUUCCAAUAGGACAGCUUUGACGACUUCAGGUUUUCACAAAAUCAUGUGUUACAUAUACAGGUAGAAGUCAUCAGCCCCCAUUCUGCUAGCAUUGUCCUUUACAAUGUAUUCACUGUACUUCUGCUUACUUUAGUUUGGAUGGAGUAUACCAAGCAAACACACACAAUCUUUAAAUACAGGUUCCCCCCUGAAUGCAUACAAAGGAUGUUUUGACUUCCAUGAUUGCACCCAGUUUUAGGCACAUUUUCUUCAUAAUCGUUAGUGGAUAAUGGGUGUAAACAUUAUUCAGUCUCAGCUUAGCUCCGCUUGCUUUAAGAACUCCGUUAAUAAGUGCACUGAAUGAGUGAUGACAAUUGUUUAAUGGAUGCGCUUUAGACACUGCAAUCGUUUGCAACGAUGUUUGUUUCUGCUUUUGCUCCAUAUUAUCAAAUCUAGGUCUUUCAUUUUACUUGUCAGAUUUUUUUUUUGUCCUUUUAUUUAAUUGCAGUGUUUUUGUUCAUACUGUUUCAAUAAACAAGUGAAAACACUCCAAAUAUACACUGGCUUGAGACAUGUUUUUAUUUAUGUGUGUUGGUAGAAUUCAGACAUUGUAUUGUCUUUGUUGCUCCAUUGUUUUUUAGCUGUUGCUUAUCAAAUCAAGUUUCCAUGACACUGUCUAAAGUCAGAUUCAAGUAAUUUCCCCCAAAAUCUUGACAAGCCAAACAAGAGGUGCUGACACAGGAAGUAAUUAAUUAGCUCAUGACUGCUUUUUACACCGAACUGUUUCCCCACAAUCUUUAGUGUAAAAUUAGCACACACCACUACCCAGCAUGCACUGGGGUAGAAGUCAGUGGCGAAAGCUGAUUGCUCCAGUCAGGUAAUGCACAAAAUUUCAACACCCCUCCACUGAAUCAAGACAAACUACGGCCAAAUGCGGUCCUGUAUGGACUGCCUGAGACUGCUGAGUCCGUUAACUCUCUCCGGCUGGGGUGUUUCUCUGACAGUUACGUGUGUUUUUUUUAUGUUGUGGCGUUUUUCGUACGGCACUGUUAACCUGGGGCAGCUCUCCAACAGUGAGCUGUGAG